UUAAUUCAGAUUUGUAUGGAGUUGAAAUGUAUUACUACGUUUGCCGCUAGGGGCGCUGUUUUAACUGCAUACAAGUUUGACUUA
rnacentral:pre_miRNA from 1 species